UAGGCUUUCUACAAUAAUAUUGUUCUGUUGCUAUACAUUGUGUAAUUGGUAUUGUUUCUGCAUUUGUACCACAAUGCCUAAAAUAUUGUUUUGUUGUUAUACAUGGUGUAAUUGGUAUUGUUUCUGCAUUUGUAUUUGUUGUACGGGUGCUUUAACUCGCUGUAGAGUGAAUGCUUUUUUGCCUGUUUCGAAUCCGAUGUAAAUAUGGUCAUUUCAGCACUAACUGGAUGUGGAAAAACAGUACUUUUUGAGCUUUGCAUUUUGAGACUGCUCUCAAGGUUCAUCUCUGCAGAGGGAAGAUUUAUUCACUUAAAGAGAAUGCUCAAAACAGUAGGCUUUCUACAAUUUUGUAUAUGAAAAAAUUUUAGAUGUUUAUUUAAACAUUGAAAAGUUCAGAAGAUUAUUGAUUUCACACCACCAGGACACCUACCAAUGUUCUUUAUUUCAUUUACUUUGUAUUGUUGGUUAGUUUUGGGAAUUAACUCCUUAUAUUAUGGAAGGGAUUUUAUUAUUAUUUGAUUUUAUUUGAUCUAUAUACAUAUAUAUAAAUAUAUUUUUAGGGUCUAUUAUACCUUAUUGUUUGACUGAUGAGGUCUAUUAUAAUUGUUAAAUCCAUUAUUGCUUCAACAGUUGAAAUCUUUUUCUGUAUACUUUCACUUUUAUCAAUGAUUAGAAAAGGGAUAUAUCUUACAAAACAAUUACAGUAGUUUUGGGAAUCUCUUAUGUGUGAGAAGGGAUUUUGAAUAAGGGAGAAGGGAUUUUGAAUUUGUGUGAAAAUGUAUCAGAGAUACAAUUCAAUUCAACGGCUGAGAUGUGUUGUUUUUAACCAUUGAGGGUUGAGAUGUGUUGUUUUCAACGGCCCCUUGAUGUGUUGUUUUCAAUUCCUGCCCAAAACAAUCCCCUCUCUCUCCUGUGUUCCACCCACUCCAAACAUUAUUUGCACACUUCUCUCUCUCUCUCUCUCCAACUUCUCAGGUCUCAAACUCUGUCCUCAGAGAUCUCUCUCUUCCUCUCCCUCCUCUCCACUGCCGUUCUGCUUCCACCAUCGCGUCGUCUCCACCGUCGCGUCGCCUCCGAUCUCCACCGACAGCAACUCUUCAUCUCUUUUCCCUAUUAGAUCUCAACCCACUACGGCACCUCCGUCCUCCAUCGCAGAGAAACCGAUAAAGAGUUGCGGUAUCGUUUCAUCUAUAAUCAUUUUCCGAGUUUGCACGAGGAGGACAUUAUAGGAAAAACGGAUGUGGAGACUUCAAAACAGAUUAUUCACUGAUUAUUCACUGGUGCUGGUGCUGGUGUUGGUGCUGGUGUAAAGGAAUCUCAAGACUUCAAAACAGAAGUUUUGGAACGGGGAGUACCUGCAAAAAGGGAAAUUACUUUUGAGACAAAACUAUUUGGGUCAAAGACAUUUUUGAUAUAUGUUGAACCUGUAUUCAGCAACGCAGGGGAUACUAUUGGUGUGAAUUACAUGGGUAUGGAUGUAACUGAUCAGGUGAGUUCAUUUACAAGAUUCAACAGUCUGUAUAGUGCCAUGGUGGUCUUCAACAUUAAAUUCAACACUACCUAAUAUUAUAAAUUGAUUUGUGAUUACCAUUUCGAAAAGAAAAUCUUAUUAGCUUUUCUUCGUAUUGAAUUUUUAUGUUCAAUGUUUUGGUUUG